rnacentral:other from 1 species
AGGGUCCUAUGUUGUACGUGUAACAACUUUUCAUUUUGAGCCAACACUUCGACCUUGGGAGUUUUCUGUUUCGCUAAUAAUAGCAUGCCUCAUACUUAUGUAAUAACUUAGAGGAAGUUAGAAUUAACGAACACGACACCCACCUGCUAUUGCAGGUUCAAAAUAAGGUAUUUUUACGGCAAACACGGGACUCUU